GGGGUAUUAGAUGUAGGAUGGUAGUGUUAGAUGUAGGGUGGUGGUAUUAGAUGGUGGCGGUAUUAGAUGUAGGGUGGUGGUGUUAGAUGUAGGGUGGUGUUAGAUAUAGGGUGUGGGUGAUGUUAAAUAUAGGGUGGUGGUGUUAGAUGUAGGGUGGUGGUGUUAGAUAUAGGUUGGUGGUGUUAGAUGUAGGGUGGUGGUGUUAGAUAAGGGUGGUGGUGUUAGAUAUAGGGUGUGGGUGAUGUUAAAUAUAGGGUGGUGGUGCUAGAUAAGGGUCAUGGUGUUAGCUAUAGGUUGGUGGUGUUAGAUGUAGGGUGGUGGUGUUAGAUGUAGGGUGGUGGUGUUAGAUGUAGGGUGGUGGUGUUAGAUAUAGGGUGGUGGUGUUAGAUGUAGGGUGGUGGUGUUAGAUAAGGGUGGUGGUGUUAGAUUUGGGUGUGGGUGAUGUUAAAUAUAGGGUGGUGGUGCUAGAUAAGGGUCAGGGUGUUAGAUAUAGGUUGGUGGUGUUAGAUAUAGGGUGGUGGUGUUAGAUGUAGGGUGGUGGUG
ensembl:lncRNA